GACAGAGGUGCCAAGCGUUAGGCGGAAUCACUGGGCUUAAAGCGUGUGUAGGCGGAAUGGUAAGUACCUUGUGAAAUCCCACGGCUCAACCGUGGAACUGCUUGGUAUACUGCUUUUCUUGAGCCACUUAGGGGCAACCGGAACAAACGGUGGAGCGGUGAAAUGCGUAGAUAUCGGAAGGAACACCGGUGGCGAAAGCGGCGCGCUGGACCUCUUCUGACGCUGAGGCGCGAAAGCCAGGGGAGCAAACGGG
rnacentral:rRNA from 1 species